rnacentral:rRNA from 1 species
UACGUAGGGGGCAAGCGUUAUCCGGAUUUACUGGGUGUAAAGGGAGCGUAGGCGGCAGGGCAAGCCUGAUGUGAAAGCCCGGGGCUCAACCCCGGGACUGCAUUGGGAACUGCCCCGCUCGAGUGCCGGAGGGGCAGGCGGAAUUCCUAGUGUAGCGGUAAAAUGCGUAGAUAUAUGGAAGAACACCAGUGGCGAAGGCGGCCGCCUGGCCUGUUGCUGACGCUGAGGCACGAAAGCGUGGGGAGCAAAUAGG